rnacentral:rRNA from 1 species
UACGAAGGGGGCUAGCGUUGUUCGGAAUUACUGGGCGUAAAGCGCACGUAGGCGGCUUGGUAAGUUAGAGGUGAAAGCCUGGAGCUCAACUCCAGAAUUGCCUUUAAGACUGCCGAGCUAGCAGGUGAGAGAGGUGAGUGGAAUUCCGAGUGUAGAGGUGAAAUUCGUAGAUAUUCGGAAGAACACCAGUGGCGAAGGCGACUUACUGGACACAUAUUGACGCUGAGGUGCGAAAGCGUGGGGAGCAAACAGG